AUGGCGGUGGAUCUGACCCCGAGGCAGCCGGCCAAGGCGUACGGCGGCGAGGGCGGUGCCUACUACGAGUGGAGCCCGGCCGAGCUGCCCAUGCUCGGCGUCGCCUCCAUCGGCGCCGCCAAGCUCGCGCUCGCCGCCGGCGGCAUGUCGCUCCCCAGCUACUUCGAAUCGGCCAAGGUCGCAUACGUCCUCCAGGUUACGUACACCACCGACCCCAUCUCCUCUCGUGCUCACGCUUCGUUUUGUUUACUGCUGCGUUCGGACGAGUUCGUUCGAUCGAUCGGAGCUGUUUUGGUGCUGGUCUGUUCGGGACCUGAAUUCUGGUCCGUAUGUGGUCGCUGGUUGAUCGAACCUAUUGGUUUUGGUCUCUAUAGUCCAGAUCAAACUCGGUCGUAG
rnacentral:rRNA from 1 species